rnacentral:rRNA from 1 species
UACGUAGGGGGCAAGCGUUGUCCGGAUUCAUUGGGCGUAAAGAGCGUGUAGGCGGCCAGGUAGGUCGGUUGUGAAAACUGGAGGCUCAACCUUCAGAGGUCGACCGAAACCAUCUGGCUAGAGUCCGGGAGAGGAGAGUGGAAUUCCUGGUGUAGCGGUGAAAUGCGUAGAUAUCGUAAGGAAGACCAGUGGCGAAGGCGGGUCUCUGGACAGUUCCUGACGCUGAGGCACGAAGGUCAGGGGAGCAAACGGGG